rnacentral:rRNA from 1 species
GUCGAACGGUGGCGCUUCGGCGCCAUAGUGGCAAACGGGUGCGUAACGCGUAAGCAACCUGCCCACAACUGGGGGAUAGCCCGGCGAAAGCGGGGGUAAACCCGCAUGGUCCACUGGUAUCACCUGAUACUUUUGGUAAACAUUAAUGGGUUGUGGAGGGGCUUGCGUCUGAUUAGGUAGUUGGUGGGGUAGUGGCUCACCAAGCCGAUGAUCAGUAGGGGUUCUGAGAGGAUUGGCCCCCACAUGGGUACUGAGAUACGGACCCAACUCCUACGGGAGGCAGCAGUAGGGAAUAUUGGGCAAUGGAGGCAACUCUGACCCAGCCAUGCCGCGUGGAGGAUGAAGGCGCUCAGCGUCGUAAACUUCUUUUAUCUGGGAAGAACAGCAGAGAUGCGUCUUUGUGUGACGGUACCAGAGGAAUAAGCACCGGCUAACUCCGUGCCAGCAGCCGCGGUAAUACGGAGGGUGCAAGCGUUGUCCGGAUUUAUUGGGUUUAAAGGGUGCGUAGGUGGGGUCUCAAGUCUGGUUUGAAAGCUGGUCGCUCAACGAUCAGAUGUGGCUGGAAACUGGGGUUCUUGAAUGGGUUGGCGGCUGCCGGAACGG